AGUGAACGCUGGCGGUAGGCCUAACACAUGCAAGUCGAACGGCAGCACAGUAAGAGCUUGCUCUUACGGGUGGCGAGUGGCGGACGGGUGAGGAAUACAUCGGAAUCUACUUUUUCGUGGGGGAUAACGUAGGGAAACUUACGCUAAUACCGCAUACGACCUACGGGUGAAAGCAGGGGAUCUUCGGACCUUUCGGGAUUGAAUGAGCGGCUGUCGGGUUAGCUAGUUGGCGGGGUAAAGGCCCACCAAGGCGACGGUCCGUAGCUGGUCUGAGAGGAUGGUCAGCCACACUGGAACUGAGACACGGUCCAGACUCCUACGGGAGGCAGCAGUGGGGAAUAUUGGGCAAUGGGCGCAAACCUGAUCCAACCAUACCGCGUGGGUAAAGAAGGCCUUCGGGUUGUAAAGCCCUUUUGUUGGGAAAGAAAAGCAGCAGGUUAAUACCCCGCUGUUCUGACGGUACCCAAAGAAUAAGCACCGGCUAACUUCGUG
rnacentral:rRNA from 1 species